rnacentral:misc_RNA from 1 species
AACUUUUAGCAACGGAUCCCUUGACUCUCGCAUCGAUGAAGAACGCAGCGAAAUGCGAUAAGUACUGUGAAUUGCAGAAUUCAGUGAAUCAUCGAAUCUUUGAACGCACCUUGCGCUCCUUGGUAUUCCGAGGAGCAUGCCUGUUUGAGUGUCAUUAAUAUAUCAACCUUCUCUUUUUGAGUGGUUUGGAUGUGGGGGUUUGCUGGCCUCUUAAAAGGUCUUGGCUCUCCUGAGAUACAUUAGCAGAACAACCCUGUUCAUUGGUGUGAUAACUAUCUACGCUAUUGAAUGUGAAGGGCAGUUUGGCUUUCUAACAGUCCUUGGACAAGCUCAUCAUUAAUGUGACCUCAAAUCAGGUAGGACUACCCGCUGAACUUAAGCAUAUCAAUAAGCGGAGGCU